rnacentral:tRNA from 1 species
GGGCCCGUAGCGUAACGGCUAUCGCGCUUUCAUGGCAUGAAAGAGAUUAGGGGUUCAAUUCCCCUCGGGUCCACCA